UUUGAUAUAAACAAAAUAUAUAAUAGAAUGCAUAACAAAAUUAGAAAAAAACAAACAUAAAUAAACGUAAAAAUAAAAAAUUAAAAAAAAUAGAAUGCAUGAUAAAAUUAGAAAAAUAAGAUCAUGAAUAAACAUAAAAAUUAAAAUUAGAAAUAAAAAAAUAGUAAUUCUAAUUUAUAUUAAGUAGAAAAAUACAAAAAUAAUUUGAAUAUGAAAGAACAAUAUAAUAAACUGAUAGAUGCAGAUAAGAGAAUAAAUAACACGAAAGAAAAUAAAUAAUUUUGAUAUAAUAAAAUAAAAUUGAGAUAUCUUAAUACAUGUAAUAAAUUUUUAAAUAUUCAAAUUAAUAUUAUUUUCUCUCCCAUUUAAAUCCUCUCAAUUCGAAGUAAAGCAAAAUAUGUAUUUUUGGUGGAUUUUUCUCUCCUCCCGUCUCCUGAUCUUCACUCGUAAAAUUUGAAUCAAAUAUUUGAUGGUUGUAUAAUUUUAUUAAAUAAUACAUAUCACAUUAGUGAUCUAUCUUUCUUUUUUAAUAUAUGUUUGAGAAUUCUUUUAUUAAAAACUGCAAAUCUAUUUAUUAGAUUGCAUAUCUUAAGAGUAACGUGAUUUCUUUUCUCAUCCUUGUGGUGUGACUCACACUCAAGAAAACGUAAAAAUGCUUUAGAGAUUUUUGGAGAUCCAUCUCCUGAUGCACCUUAAAUUUUCUCAUUUUUCGUAAAUCAAACAUCUACCCUAUUUUUGCCAAAAAUUGGUCAGGAGAUGCAUCUCCAAAACUUUUUAGGGUGAAUUCGAAGAUGCAUCUCUAGAAACACCCCUGAAGUCAUUUACUCCACAGUUUUCAUUGAAAUUGGCGCCGUUUUCGGGGACUCUAUGUCAAUUUUAACCAAUAUUAGAGUCAUAUGAAUUGUAUCCUCGCGUUUUGGCCCAUACGUUCCUUCGUUUCUGGCCUUUACGCGACCUAGCAUAAAAAACUCGAUUUUUUUAGAAAAUUGAUUCUUAACCAAAAUUUUACUGUGCCAUUUCAUCAGAAAAAACCAGGGAUCAAAGUCACAUAUGAGACACCAUCCUAAAAACCCUAAAUUCCUUGUUUUUAUUUUCUAUUUUCAUAUUUUCGAAAAAAUCUCAAAAAAAAUUGUAUAUUCUUAACUUGAUUUUUAGUUGUAUUUUGAGAUUUUUAUAAUUUAAUUUUAAUCUUUUUUAAAAUUUUCAAUUAUUUUUCUCAAUAGACACAUUGUUGGUAUUUACACAUUUCUUCCAUUACUCAUGCAUGACUACUAGGUUUGCCUAUUCAGAUACACCCCAUACUAAAUAAAUAAAAACACAACAUGACACUUUACGGAUAUGCAUAUUUAAAAACACCAUUUUUCUUACAAAAGUAUGGUGUAUCUGGACACCAUUUUUCUUACAAAAGUAUUGUGUAUCUGAACACCAUUUUUCUUAAAAAAAUAUGGUGAAUCCGGAGAUGCAUCUUUGAAAUUAAGUAUAAUGGGUGGCUCACUCGUUUCCGUUCAAUUUUGAGGAAAAUUAGUGUGUCCGGAGAUGCAUCUCCAAAAAUUGGGGGGCAUUUUUUACUUUUCGCCAAGGGUUCAGAAGAACUUAUAAGGGUGAGAAAAGAAAUUGCCUAAGAGUAACGAACCUUUACAUAAUAUGGAAUCUCUUCGAUCCUAUUUUAUGCGUUAUGUGACUAUUUGGCUAACUCAUAUGCUAGGGUAUUGUUGUUUCUGCUAGUGUAUGAUAUCCUCACUUGCCUAAACUUAGUUGUCUCUCUCUUUAUGCUUUCGCAAACUCUAUCUCUCAAUGUUCUAUCUUCCUCGUCUCUAUUCACGUUUUUUCCCAAACUUUUGUUAUCAGUCUCGAAAUGGACGCUUCUGAAACAAAAACCACACACCACUUCUAUAGAUUUUCGUAACGCAACGACUUUGCUAAGAUUAAGAUCUUUGUUUCCCUUUAUUUUAUCUAUUCCACUUGCUACAACUAUUCACGUUUUGCACCUAUAAAUGCAACCGAAAGCCCAUUCUCCUUUCACCUUGAGACUUAAGGGUGUAAUCAGUUCAAUUUAAAUCAGUUUUUGGUCAAAAAAGGGUCCGAACCAAUGAUAUCUCCUUUGGUUUGGUUCGGUUCAGUUUUUAACAUUUUUCAAAAAUGGAACCAAACCAAACUAAUCAGUUUGAUUUGGUUGAUCAAUUUACAAUAUAUUUUUUGAAACAUUAUAUUCAUCAACAUAUUAUCUGUAUUGUGUUUUUUUGUAUAAUAUAUGCUAUUAUUAUUAUUUAAAAUAAUACAUUUCAUGUAAUUUUAUUUCAUGCUCUAUUUUUUCAAAUAAAUUAUAGUUUCUCUUAAUCCAUAUGAAACAGUGACAUGAUUUCCAUUGCAUCAUGAGAUAAGCUCACUAUCAAAUAUAAAAGUUGACACUUGAUAUCAAAGUGUUAGAAAGGGAUUUGAAAGCUUAACAAAUAGAACAUAACAAAACAAACAUCAAUUAACAUGUUUCACACCUCAAACACACAUAAAAACUAUUUUGUAACAAAACUAGAAGGGAUUUUUUUGAAGAAGAAACAAAAAUGGUAAAAAGAAAUAUGAAAAUUAACGAAGAGAACUUGAACACAAAGAAGGUGGCCAUAACAUAUCAGAACGAUAAUAGAGAAAACAAUAGUUAUGGCGGGCAGCGAGAGCAGUAAUUCAGUGAAAGCAAGUUUUUGUGACUUAUGUUUUCCACUUUCUAUGUUUUAGAGUUAGUUCUAGAUGUAUGUUUUGCCGAAAGGAAGAAAGUGUAAACAAAGAUGGAGAAUGGUUAGACCGAUACAAAAUUUAGGCUUAUUGAUGGGUGGAAUAAAAUAUUUAUAGCGUGAUUAUAUCCAUUUGUUCGGUUCAUUGGUUUGACGGUUCCUAAAAACUUAAAUCGAGAACCCAACCAAACCACAUCUCUCUUUAUUGGUUUGAUUCGAUUUUAGAACCGAACCAGAAAUAAUCAGUUUUAUUUCAGAUUUGUUUGGUUUGGAUUAUCGGUUUAAUUGGUUUUUUCUGAUCCACUUACACCCAUACUGAGACUGACAUCAGAAUUACAUUUAAUCCACCAUUUCUCAAGAAAAUUCCAUCUUUGAGCUAUAUCUUCUUCAAGUCUGUCUGUGUUUCUGUAGGUUUUGGAAUUUUGAUUUAUGGUUGUAUCUCUCUUGUUUGAACUGAUUGUGUGCUUUGGGUUGAUGUUUUGUAUGUUGUUCCUUAGAUUCUCGUUCAGUUGAGUAUUUUCUUUCUUAUCGGUUGUGCUUUCGCCCACUUCAAAAUUGUUGUGUUUAAUUAUUUGGUAACAAAUAAUUUUAUUUAUGGUGAGCUCUUCUUUCGUAGAAAUUUUGUCAUUCCUCUUAUUCUACUUUCCAUUUUUGCUGACGGGUGUGGAAAUUAUGUUGAUUUGUUUGUUCUUGAUAUUUGUUGUUUGAUUAGGGCCCUUGUUUUUGUUUUGGUUGUUGAUGAUUUGAUUGUUGCGCUUCUAGGAUUCCUAUUUCAUAUCAUGGCUAGUUUUUUGGAUUUGAGUGUUCUACGUAUUAGGAUUUACCUCUCUACUAUUAACAAGUAAUUUUCCUUUUAUUUGAUGUGUGUUGUUUCUCAUGAGCUGCUUAGUUUUUUUGACAUUGAGGUUAUGAUUCUUAUUUGGAUUAGUGUUACCUUAGAGUUCCUUCAUCAUUUUGUCUUGAUUUUUGGAAUUCAGGUUAGUGUUCAUAACUAUGAUGUUGUUGCUCCUUUUUGUCCUCUAUGGAUUUUUCAUUAUUGUCCUGACCCCAUUUCUACUUUUGUCCUUCUGAAGGUUGAGACUAGUAACUGUGCCCUGGUUGUUGUGCCUUAUUGCUUCUUCAACUGAUGAACUCAGAGGGAUCUUGAAUGAUGUAUCAAAUGAAGUUUCAAAUUGCAAACACUUGGUUUCACAGAAAGUUGGCAUUGGCCAAGUCCUUUAGCAUAUGAAUGUUGCCUAAGUUCUAAGUCCAUUUGUCCAAGAUCAAGCCAACAAUCCACACAAUUUUUUUAGGGUUUUUGUUGUUAUUAUGUACAUUAAUGGUCAAAGACCACACAAACAAGAAAAGUAUACACAAACAAGAUAUAUCACACAAUAUGGUCCAAAUGGACAAAGUGAAAAUUGCAUUAACAUAAACAAUUAGAAUGGUAUGAAUAAUAGCAAAUGAAUAAAGGCUGAAAUUAAAUGACAUUAAAGUAAAUGGCUUGAAAUUAAAAGUUAGUUGUUAAUGAGUUAGAAGUUAGUAUUGUUUUGCUUUUGCUUUUCAUUUUUAGACAUUCUUUGGAGAACACUCAACCCACUUAUCACAAGCAUGGAUCCUUGAACCAAGACAUCUUCCAAAGGAAGGAAAAAAGGCCAAGUUUCCACACAAUACCAUGAAAGAGGGGAGACUUACAAUCUCACUAACUAGAAUGCUAUACCUUUUAUGUCACAAAUUUAGCGCUAUGUUAAGCAGUCGUAAUUGGACUUAUGUAGAAGUCACAACUAUUUGAGGUCGGGCAAUAGAAUUUUAGUGUUAAUGCAUGUUUGAGACAUAAUAUAAUGGACUAUGCUCAUGAAACAUACCACACACAAAAAUAAUAUGCAAAAGAGGUGGCCUAAUCUCAUCCAUACUCAUGUUAAUUUUUCAAUCAACUAGCUUUAGGACUUUGAGAUAUCAUAAGCCAAAUGAGAUGAAUGCAUAAAGAAUGGGAAUGAGAUGAAGAGGGAGAGGAAUGGAUCAAAACUCAACAUGUUGAAAUUUCAACAUGUUGAAAUUUUUUCUUGGAAUAUGGCGAAUUUUGAAUAUGGCGAAUGGAUCAUACUCAUUUGUAGCUUGGUGUAGCACCUCAAAUUUGCACCUAUCAUUGUACAUACAUUUUCAUAUUAGGUCAUAGCAUAUCAUGGUCCAUUGCAUAGCAUUUGCAUAACCCUCAGUUGCCUCAAGAGCAAGCAAGCAAGAAUUAGGUCAAACUGAUCAGGAGAUCAGUCAGUCAAGCAAGCAAGUGCAAUUCUCAAGGGAGCCAAGGCCCUAGGGUUUGUCCAACAAGUUCACAUGACUUGGAGGUCCAUUUGAAGUGUUCAAGUCAAGGGUUGAAGGCUCAGAGGUCAUCAGUUCAUACACAGACAGUCAAAAACCCUAGACAGUCAACAGUCAGUCAAAGCAGUGGAUGGUGGCCAUUCUUGUGGAAUUUGGGCACCAUGAUCAAUAAUCAAGAGUUCAUACAACUUGGGACAUCAUUUGAAGUCAAGGUCUCAAGGAAUUAGGGUUUGGAAGUCAUCAGUCAAUGCACAGUCAGCCAGAAACCCUAAAAGUCAACUGUUGGUCAACUGUCCAUUUAAUCAGUGAUUUGAUGAUAGAAAUGGUUUGAGAGGUCUUAUUCAUGUCCAAAUAGUCAUCAUAUAUCAUGCCAAACACCAUCAUGGAAGAAUUUGAAGCCAGAUCAAAAAUUUCCAAAAAUGGAAACUGGACUUGUAACUGAAACUUACCAAAAAUGGAAAGUCUUGAUCCUCAAACUUACAUCAUGAUACAAGCCUCAAAUGAAUUUUUGCCCAACAUGAAAGUUGAAGAUCUUGUUUUCCCAUUUCCAAAAAGUCCAAGAACUCUCAAUUCCCAUGUAUGGUUGGCAAGUUAUGAUCGAAUCGAUUUCAGAAAUUCUUGAACUUCAAGAGGCCAUAUCUCUCAAACCGUUUGGCCAAUUUUGGUGGGGUUUUUUCCUACAAGUCACAUUUGAUCCCCUCUUUCCAAAAAUAUAAAUUUCAUGAGCCAAAACUUCACCAAUCAAAAUGGCAUUUUUUGACCUAUCUCAUUUAAAUGCAAGUUUGACCAAUGUUUGACUUUUUGAUAUAAACAUUUUUCUAACAUUUGGCCAAAUGGAACAGCUCAGAAAUAUCAUUUAAAACAUGUUUGCCAAGUCAAAUUAUGCAGUACAUGAGGCCAUUACUUAGUUGCUUGAAAUUUGAAAAAAGUACAAGUUUCACCAUGCUACUCCAUGCUUUCAUUAAACCAUGCCUUGUACUUCUCUAAAACAGAACUUUAGAAGCACAUUUGCUGUCAUUAUGAACACAUUUUAGCAGCCUAAACCAACAGAAGAGCCAUCCCUAGCUGCUUGAAAUGUGGAGAGCAAGUACAUGUUUUCAUGAAAUCCAUCUCACAAAUCCAAAAACCAGGCUUGGCACUCAGAAAAACAGUAGGGAUCACCAUCCUUUUUCUGUCAUAAGCAGCCACAUUUUGACAGCAAAAAGAGAGAACUUGAUUCAUUUUCAAAAAAGAUCAUCUUACUUGCAUUUUACAAAAGCUGUCAAAAGGGAUUUCCAAAAGAAAAAGACCUUGCCUUGGACUGUACCACAACCUAGCAGAGUAUAUCUCAUUAUUUUUCUGUCAUGGACAAACACAUUGGCUAGGAGCAGACCAACCAAAAAAGCCUAACUCACCUUGCUAUUUACAUUUCAAGAUUUUCUGGUCCAAAACAAAAAAGCACCAAAACCCUGCCUUGCCAAAAGCAACAUGAAGGAGCAGAUUAUGUUUAUUUCCUGUCAUGUGAAACACUACUAGGAGCAAAACCAACAGAACUUCAUUGAUGCUAAACAAAACCACCUUUUGACAAGAUUGCAAGAUGCUGUUCAAAAUUGCCCAGAGCCACAAGACAGCAUUUUUUUUCAUGAUGAUUUUCUGUCAAGAACAAAUUCUAGGGGCAGCCACACAAGCCAUAAGCCAUCAGAUUGCCAACAGAACUUGAUCCAUUCUCUCAAAAUUCACCUUGCUAUUUGCAUUUCACUUUUCUGUCCAAAAGCACUAAUAGCCCUACCACAACCAACUUCAUUCAUUCUCAAAGAUCACCUUGCUUUUGCAUUUAUCAUUUUCCUGUCCAAAGUUUCCAAAAGGCACAAACUCUGGCACUGUUGUUUCACCACCAUUUUUCAUCAUGUUGAACUAAUGGCAGCUAUAACACACAGUAGAAAACCCUUGGCUCUUAUUCCCUCAAAGUGACACUUUUGCAUUUUUUCCAAAAAACCUGUCAAAAGCUCCAAGGAACCUGAGCCUUGCAUUGUGUUUUCAACAUCCAUUCCAUCAUUUUUCUGUCAUUUGUAGACAACUAGCAUCCAUCAAAAAACACCUUGCACAACAAGAGAUCAUUCAUGCUAAAUCCCUCUUACUGGCAUUUCAAAGAAGGCUGUCCAAAGACUUCCCACCAAAGAACCAACCUUGCCUUACCACUGAGCAACAUCCAACAGCAGGCUUUUCAUGAUGUUUUCUAUCAUUUGAAACACAACUUGCAUCCUUGAAACACUUGGCCUAAACAGAACUUCACACUCUCUAAAAGACUUCAUUAUUGCAUAUUCCAUUUCUUCUUGUCCAAGAACUCAAAAAGACCAAACCUUCCAUUGCUUUUCCACCAUUCAAGCAUCAUCCUAAAUCAAUAGCAGCCAACAUAAUCAACCAAAAAACCUUGGCUCUCAUUCACUCAAAAAUCACAUCCUUGCACUUUACAAAACCUGUUCCAAAAAAAAAAACUUCAAAGAACACAAACCCUGGCCAUUACUUUUCACCACCAUUUCACACUUUGGAACCAUGCUAGCACCAUCCAACACAGCCUAAAAACCUUGGGCUCUCAAACCUCUUCUUGCAUUUUCUAAACUCAGUCCAAAAACUCCAAAUGCCCUGACCUUGUUUUGGCUAAUUCAUCAAUCAAACAACAUCUUGAGUCCAUUCCAACCACUUUCCCCCAUCUACAAGUACCUUUUCUAGCACUGUUUUAAAGAAGUGACUUCCAUGGCAAUCCAAGUUUGAGCUCAUUCCAAGCAUCUACAAGCCAAGGCAUCUUCAUCAUACAUCAAGGCAUAGCUGUGCUUCAACUGUUUCACUCCAACAACACCAAACAAUAGCUGAAUCUCUACUGUCCAUCCAAAUUGGUAAAUUUUCAAUCUCCCUAUUUUGUGAAAUUAGUGCAUGCUUAAUGUAGGUCUUUUGAUGCUGAUUUCAUGGAUGGUCUUAGUUUUACAAAUGGUCAAGUGGUGUUUGAGUUAUUUUGAAAUGAACAUUGAGGAUCCAAACUUAUUUUGCAUAUAACUUGAGAGAUAGCUCAAAUUAAUGAAAACCAAUGUUAGGAUGUUGUGGUUUGAUGUUUGAUGAACACAAUGGUAUGCUCAAUUGAGAUUUCUGGACAUCUAUGGAAAAUCACGAUUUGGGAUGGUGAUGAACAGUGAAACCCUAGUUCUUCAAGUACAUUUGCCCAGAUUUUCCCCCAUUUUCGUGCAUGCAUGGCUUGACCCCCUCAUCCAAUCAAAACAUUUCCUUUGAUGCCCAAAACGACUGUGUUUGGUUAAGUGAAUCAGGGAAUUACAAAAAUGCCAUUCUUGCUUCAUUUAUUCCAUUUUAAUUUCACAUUUUUAUAACCAAUCUUGCAAAAAUCAUAACUUGCUCAUUUUUGAUCCAAAUUCAAUGGGAUUUUUUGUGUUGUGUUCAUCAUGAUCUCUACUUUUUUAUCAUUAUUUUUCCAGAAUUUUUGGAUGAGUGGUUUUUAAAUGGUGCUAGGGUUUGUGACAUGUGACCAAAUUUUGUACACUUUGCCAAAACAUUUGUGAAAUGAUGAGAAUGUAUCCAAUGGCUCCAAAAUUUUUUGUGCUGAAACUAGACACACUCAUGGUGAUUUUGGUGUAGAGUUUGUGAAUUUAUCAUUGCUGGUUUGUGAGUUAUGAAUUUUUGAAUUAGGGUGUGACAAUUUGUGUCACACCAUUGAUGCCCAACUUCAUGAUUUUCAUUACCAUGCUUCUUGACCUCCAAUUGAUCUGAUUUUUUGCAUGAACCUACUCUUGUAUGUCUAGUUUACAUGUGAUUUUUUGCGGAUUUAUUUGUGGCAUUUCCUAAUUGUUUGAGAUUUUCUCCCCUGGUUAGUCAUAUGUUGACCUUGUGUGACACUUGUUCCCAUUUCAUUUGUGAAAUUCUCAUACUUUAUUGGAUGGACAUGAAAUUUUACAUGAGAUAACUAGACAUCCUCAUCUUUGCCAUGGUUUUGAUCCCCUUCAUUUAUCAUAUGCCAUCUCUGAUUUAUGAAUUUUCUAAGUUGAUACAUGUUUGGUUGACUUCUUUGAGCAUGUUCAAAAUUGCUUUGACUUUCUGAUUUUCAUUGACUGCCUUCCACUUGUCCAAAUGAGAUGAAAUUUGACAUGCUUACCAUGCUGUGGAUUGUGAUUGACCAUGAUUUAUUUGGUGAUUUUUGGAAAUGUUUGAGUUGACGUUUGAGUUAAGUCUUGCUGUUGACUCCUAUGAGCUUCUGUUUGCUAUACUUUGACCUAAAUUGUUCAUGAAAUGAUGAUAAUGAUUGAUAUGCAUGUGAACCCAAUUGGCUGUGUUUCUUGAAUGUUUAAACUUGACUUUGUUUGGAUAUCCCUUGCUGUUUUGGCUUUCUCAUUCAUUUUUGACCCUAGGCUUGCCCUAGUGGUCCUGUUACUCACUUUUGAGCUUGUGUUUUCAGGUUGGCCAACAAAUGACCAAUGAGACCAAUUCUUUUUGUUUGAGCUUGCCUAAAUACCAUGACUAACUUGUGUGUUUUGUAGGUGGCUUGGCUCACAUGCCUAGAGCCUUGUGCCUUGCACAUCCAUGUGCCUCUAAUUAACUGUUUCAGUCAGUUUCUUUUUGCUUUGUUUGAAGUUGCAUACUAACAUCUGCUUGACUGUUUCAGGUGCUUUUAGUUGCUUAGUUCCUUGUGAACUUUUUGCUUUGCUUUGCUUGUAUAAGCAAUUUGCAUUGAGGUAUGUCUCUUUUACUUCAUGUAGUCUGGAAGACCCGGCCUGUUACUUGGCCAGGCAACUGUCUGAAGUCCUCCUUAAGAGGCAAUGUUUGUGACUGUUUACUUUUGUCCUUGCAUAGAGUCAAAGUCCUCCUAAGUGAAGAGGCAAUUGGUGGAAGGUAGGGAUAUGCAAUCUAUCCCCCACUAUUCAGUGUGUCAUCCGCUUUGCUCACACCACUGUGUUGAUGCAUUGCAGAUACAAACCCAAGAUCUUGUACAAUUGUACAGUUGAGUCAGUUUAAAUGUGUAGAAGGGUUCCCACUUUCUGAACCCACACAUUCUUGUCUUGAGCUCUCCCAGGCCGGGGAUAAGAGCUGUGAAGUCUUAUCUUCACUCACCCUUCAUCUGCUUCACCUUAGCCCCUCAAUGGCAAGGUUAAGAGCACAUUCGCCCAGUUCCAGAGGUUUGUUUGUUGAGGUUGAUACGACCCCUUGACUAAAACCUAACCCUUGUUUGAGCCACUUGCUUGUGUAUAGUGUGUGCUAUCUGUGCUUGUAGGAUAGUUUGACUUGCUUCCUGUGCAAGUUAGGAUAGUUUGACUUGCUUCCUGUGCAAGUUAGGAUAGUUUGACUUGCUUCCUGUGCAAGGUAGGAUAGUUUGACUUGCUUCCUGUGCAAGUUAGGAUUGUUUGACUUGCUUCCUGUGCAAGUUAGGAUUAGUUUAGACUUGCUUCCUGUGCAAGUUAGGUUUUGCUUGGCUUGCUUCCUGUGCAAGUUAAGUGUGUGUGGCUUGCUUCCUGUGUGAGCCAUGCUUAGGAUAGGUUGGCCCCUGUGCCAGUUAGCUAGAAACCUUAACUUAGGGAUGAUUUGCAUGAUAACAUCUAGGCUCGAGUCGUAGUCUCCCUAGUUGUGUCUCCCUCUGUUAUCUGGUUAGGCUAGUCCUUUAUCCCUCUGUAGGGGAACUACAUCGCCCUGAUCUUCAUACCAGAUGAAGUAUGUAGGCAGGAGAUUGAGCUGAUCUCUCUGGGCGCCCUUUUCUUUCUUUUAUGUGUGUUGUCUGACCUUUGCUAGGCUCGAGUCCCUGACUCCUUAGCAUUUGCUGUCUGUCUUUUUGUGUGUGUUUGACAGUUAUAGGCUGAGUCCCCGACUCCCUAUUAACCUGUUGUGUUGUUGUGUGCUUGGAAGCUGAUGUAAGUCCAUCGAAUGGCAUUUAGGUUCCAGUGUGCGUGUGUUUGGUUCGGAUGCUGAUGUAAGUCCAGCAAUUGGCAUUCAGGCUCCAUGUUUGCCUUCUUGUGUGUUUAGGUUCGGAUGUCAAUGUAAGUCCAGUGAUUGGCAUUCAGGCUCCAUGUUUGCCUUCUUGUGUGUGUUUUGGUUCGGAUGCUGAUGUAAGUCCAGUGAUUGGCAUUCAGGCUCCCCGUUUGCCUUUGCCUGUGUUUGUUUGUGUGCGUGUCAGCCGAGCUACGAAUGCUCUGAUUCUUCUCUCGUCCGAGAAGAUACGUAUGCAUAGGGUGCGAUGCCUUAGCGAGCAUGUGUCGUCUCCCCAGUCCGAACUACUUCGACUCUGAUGUCUAUGCCUGAUAGACUAAGUAGGCCCAGGAUGCGACAUCCUGCCGAGUUCAGUUUCAGUCA